GACGAACGCUGGCGGCGUGCUUAACACAUGCAAGUCGAACGGAAAGGCCCUGCUUUUGUGGGGUGCUCGAGUGGCGAACGGGUGAGUAACACGUGAGUAACCUGCCCUUGACUUUGGGAUAACUUCAGGAAACUGGGGCUAAUACCGGAUAGGAGCUCCUGCUGCAUGGUGGGGGUUGGAAAGUUUCGGCGGUUGGGGAUGGACUCGCGGCUUAUCAGCUUGUUGGUGGGGUAGUGGCUUACCAAGGCUUUGACGGGUAGCCGGCCUGAGAGGGUGACCGGCCACAUUGGGACUGAGAUACGGCCCAGACUCCUACGGGAGGCAGCAGUGGGGAAUAUUGCACAAUGGGCGGAAGCCUGAUGCAGCAACGCCGCGUGCGGGAUGACGGCCUUCGGGUUGUAAACCGCUUUCGCCUGUGACGAAGCGUGAGUGACGGUAAUGGGUAAAGAAGCACCGGCUAACUACGUGCCAGCAGCCGCGGUGAUACGUAGGGUGCGAGCGUUGUCCGGAUUUAUUGGGCGUAAAGGGCUCGUAGGUGGUUGAUCGCGUCGGAAGUGUAAUCUUGGGGCUUAACCCUGAGCGUGCUUUCGAUACGGGUUGACUUGAGGAAGGUAGGGGAGAAUGGAAUUCCUGGUGGAGCGGUGGAAUGCGCAGAUAUCAGGAGGAACACCAGUGGCGAAGGCGGUUCUCUGGGCCUUUCCUGACGCUGAGGAGCGAAAGCGUGGGGAGCGAACAGGCUUAGAUACCCUGGUAGUCCACGCUGUAAACGGUGGGUACUAGGUGUGGGGUCCAUUCCACGGGUUCCGUGCCGUAGCUAACGCUUUAAGUACCCCGCCUGGGGAGUACGGCCGCAAGGCUAAAACUCAAAGGAAUUGACGGGGCCCCGCACAAGCGGCGGAGCACGCGGAUUAAUUCGAUGCAACGCGUAGAACCUUACCUGGGUUUGACAUGGAUCGGGAGUGCUCAGAGAUGGGUGUGCCUCUUUUGGGGUCGGUUCACAGGUGGUGCAUGGCUGUCGUCAGCUCGUGUCGUGAGAUGUUGGGUUAAGUCCCGCAACGAGCGCAACCCUUGUUCACUGUUGCCAGCACGUUAUGGUGGGGACUCAGUGGAGACCGCCGGGGUCAACUCGGAGGAAGGUGGGGAUGACGUCAAGUCAUCAUGCCCCUUAUGUCCAGGGCUUCACGCAUGCUACAAUGGCUGGUACAGAGAGUGGCGAGCCUGUGAGGGUGAGCGAAUCUCGGAAAGCCGGUCUCAGUUCGGAUUGGGGUCUGCAACUCGACCUCAUGAAGUCGGAGCCGCUAGUAAUCGCAGAUCAGCAACGCUGCGGUGAAUACGUUCCCGGG
rnacentral:rRNA from 1 species